AGCAGCCGCGGUAAUUCCAGCUCCAAUAGCGUAUAUUAAAGUUGUUGCAGUUAAAAAGCUCGUAGUUGAAUUUCGGGACUAAUAUGUCGGUCGUACUUUGUACGUACUAGCAUUAUUGGUUUCUCCCUUCUGACGAACCACGAUGUCAUUAAUUUGGUGUCAUGGGAAAUCAGGACUGUUACUUUGAAAAAUUAGAGUGUUUAAAGCAAGCUCGCGCUUGAAUACAUUAGCAUGGAAUAAUGAAAUAGGACGUUUGAUUCUAUUUUGUUGGUUUCUAGGAUCGACGUAAUGAUUAAUAGGGAUAGUUGGGGGCAUUAGUAUUCAAUUGUCAGAGGUGAAAUUCUUGGAUUUAUUGAAGACUAACUACUGCGAAAGCAUUUGCCAAGGAUGUUUUCAUUAAUCAAGAACGAAAGUUAGGGGAUCGAAGACGAUCAGAUACCGUCGUAGUCUUAACCAUAAACUAUGCCGACUAGGGAUCGGAUGAUGUUAAUUUUUAAUGUACUCAUUCGGCGCCUUACGG
rnacentral:misc_RNA from 1 species